rnacentral:lncRNA from 1 species
GAUUUCUCCUCCCUUCCUGUCUUAUUCCCUUUCUUAUUCCUCCCCUUUAUUUCUGCCGUUCUUUCUUCCUUCUUUUUCUUUUAAUAUUUCAAUAGUUUUUUGGGAACAGGUGGUUUUGGUUACAUGGAUAAGUUCUUUAGUAGUGAUUUCUGAGAUUUUGGUGCACCCAUCACCCAAGUAGUAUACCCUGUAUCCAAUGUGUAGUCCUUUAUUCCUCACCCGACUCCCAUAUUUCCCCCAAGCCCCAAAGACCAUUAUAUCAUUGUUAUGCCUUUGCAUCCUCAUAGCUUACCACACCUUAAAAGUGAGAACAUAUGAUAUUUGGUUUUCCAUUUCUGAGUUACUUCACUUUUAUAAAUACAAUGGAAUACUACUCAGCCAUAAAAAGAAAUGAAAUAAUGGCACUUCUUCCUUCUUUCUUACCUUCCUUCCUUCCAGUUUGUGUUGUAGGUAGAUUGUUUCCUCAGAUUGAGUUUACAAUUCAUACUGUCCUUUCAUCCUGGCAAAGUUGUAGCCCCACACUUCAUUAUUCAUUUUAUUUAUGUAUACAUUUUCGUAUAAACAUAUAUGUACGUAUAAACAUAUAUGUACGUAUAAACAUAUGUACGUAUAUAUGUAUAUAUUUACAUAUUUAUAUGUAAUACAAGGCACCUGCUACAUUUUAGGCAUAAUGCUAGGCACUAGAAUAACACUGUCAAUUACACGUGAAGCCCUUUAGUCUUAGAGUAAGAGUUAGAAUAUUUUAGUGUCAUGGUUUGUAGAGGUCAUUAAGGCAUGCACUAUAGAGCUUGCAGGUCCCUCACCAUUCUAGCUUCCAAUUUUAACUGGGGUUAACAGUUCCUUGUGUGCAUCCACCAUAACACUUAGGAAUGCAUUGGCUUUGAAAACAUUUCCUCCCUUUCUUUCAUUCCCAGCAUUUAACUCAUAAGAAUUGGACUUGAUUUGCAUUUUCUUGAGCCAUUGCUCUUAAGGGCAGUCUGACAUUAGGCAUCAAAAUGUGCUAACUAUGGUUGUAGUCUGACACCCUUUUUUUUCUUGGCCCUCCCCCAAAAUGGCAAAAUAAAAUAACCAAAAAUUUCAAACAUUUGGUUUAAUUAAAAUAGGCCUUGUAGAAAUGCAUUUGAAUAUUUGAAUAGUGCAUUAAUAUGCUAGGAAAAUCAGGGGUUCAAAAGUGAAUAUUGCCGCAUUCCUUAGGCCCUGAGGAAUAGCAACAAAUAAAUAUUGUGCAAAUUACGGUUUUGGAAAGACUGGUACAAUACAAUUAAUAAGGCAUGAAAACCAGUAGCAAGAAAAUGAGAGGAAGGGGUAAAGUCAUUUCUUUAUUUUAAAGGUAGAAAUGUGCAUUUUUGUGUUUGGGUUUUGCCAUUUUAAGACACCUGUGUCUCACUUGCUACAAUCACAAAUUCCAAGGGUGAAUAAUGGAAAUCAUUGUAUAGGUGUAAAUGGUGUAUUGAGUACUUUUUUCAGUCUAUAACACACCUAUCUUGUUGGCACCAAAGAGCAAUGAAUGAGGCAUUUUAUUAAAACCUAGGCUUGUGGUUCCAAUCAAAGGUCACUGGUUGGUUCCCACUUUUCAGUUUCAGAUUUGUCUGUGUUUGAUCAGGGGGCAGCAACGAGAUUUUUAUGGCAAAGACUUUGUACUAGCCUGUAUCUGUCUGUUGAAACUUGAAAGUCUUUAGAACUGUGAUGCUGACAGUAUGUGAACACUGCAAGAAAGUGUGAACUGUGUAAUGUCUUAAAGAAACUUUCAAGUAUCAUCUUCCUUUUGUGAUGUUUGAAAGAGUUUCAGAUACCAUUAUGAUACUAGUGAAAAGGUAUUUUAUUGAUUAAAGGAGAUUUUUUUUCCUAGCAAAUAUACAUUAAGUCAGUCUUCCUAUUACUUUUUCUGUUCUCUCCCUGCUUCAUACAGCAAGUUCAUUAACAUGUAGAUAUGCAGUGAUUGAAGUCAGACUGCUUUUUACAGUGGAGUUGUCUUGAUAUAAUGAGCUCCUCUUUAAUGUUGAAAAAAUUGUUGUUACUUUCUAAAAAGGGUUGUUUGUGAAUUUCAUUAAUCUUCAAACAAUUUCUGCAUUGUUCAGUUUACUACAAUUAAAAUGCUUUCCGAUGCUAAAAAAUCACUUUUUACAGAUGUAUUGCAAAUGUAAGCACUGUGAGAGUGGCUUUGUUUUUUACUUUGAAAGAAAAAGCUGCUAUUUAGUUGAGAAUUCUUAUUUUUUUAAAUUGGCCCUCCAUAUGGAAAAUCAGAGGAGAGUACACUUACUGUACUGCUGAACAGGUGAGUUUGCUCAUAAGGGUUAGGUUUCACAACUAGUUCAUUCAAUCCUUGGACUAGAGCAUUGGUCUAAUCAUAGUUGAAAAAUGAGGGCCUUAACCUUGCCUUCUCAGUUUACUAGAGUACAACUCCUUCGUAUUUAGAAUGUUGGAAGUCUUGAGAAAGAAGAGAUAUUAGUGAAAUUAAGUUUCUGCUUUGGGUAAAAGUUCUCAAAGGGAUGUAUGAUACACCUGACUAAAUUCUUGGUUGCAGAGCAGUGAUUGUAGUUCAUAGUGAAUAGCUUCGUUCUUUGUAAAUUACCUUUUCCACUUAGGCCCUGGUCAGCAGGACUUGAAUGGUAUGAGAGUAAUUCUUGGCAUCUCUUGAAGACUGGGCACAGAAAGAGGCAGAAUGUCUUUCUGGAGAAUAUUUAGCAGAUUGAAGGCUUAAAAAUUUCCAGGUGAUGUCAAGGAAGUUUUCCAGGUAAAUCCCAGGACAGUUGGUUUAUGAAGGCAGGGAGUUGGAGAGUUGAGAAUAAAUUACUUGAAUAUCUUAAAGUUUUUGCCAGCAAUCAGAGUUUAUAGAGCUAUCCUAGUCCUACUAUGACCACUAUUCAGGAAAAUGUUCUUCCAAGAUAUCUCUUCCUGCUUUAGUUUCAGAGACCAUUUACAUGAUGCUAGAACAUCUAGUUAAGUUAGAGAUACACUCAAAAGUUCUUGAUAGUUGGAAAAGUUGUAGAGAAAAAAUAUUUUAGAUGUUUGGCUAAUUUUUCAAAUUGUGUUUUGACUUCUUAAGGACAGAGCCAGCAUCUGAAACUUAACAGCGUUCUUUAGUAAAAUUGAG